AUGACAGAUGAAGGUUUCUCUGAAGCGAUCUUGAGGAUGAUGAGAAGCUUCUUGAAAGCUUUAUUGAUGAAAAGAAACGUUAGGCUUCUCUUAAGCGUUUUUCUUAGGUUUCUUGAUUUGGAGGUGGAAGGUGGAGAGAUGAAUCAUGAAGCGAGUGAUACCAUAUUGAAAUUCAGUCUCUCAAUGUAUGUUUUUCAUCAUCAAUUCCGUUACAAGUGUCACUUAGUUAUAUAG